rnacentral:rRNA from 1 species
UACGAAGGGUGCAAACGUUGCUCGGAAUCAUUGGGCGUAAAGCGCACGUAGGCGGCUUGCCAAGUCGGACGUGAAAUCCCUCAGCUCAACUGAGGACGUGCAUCCGAAACUGGCGAGCUUGAGUACUGAAGAGGAUCGCGGAAUUCCCGGUGUAGAGGUGAAAUUCGUAGAUAUCGGGAGGAACACCAGUGGCGAAGGCGGCGAUCUGGGCAGAUACUGACACUGAGGUACAAAAGCGUGGAGAGCAAACAGG